rnacentral:rRNA from 1 species
GACGAACGCUGGCGGCGUGCUUAACACAUGCAAGUCGAACGGAAAGGCCCUGCUUUUGUGGGGUGCUCGAGUGGCGAACGGGUGAGUAACACGUGAGUAACCUGCCCUUGACUUUGGGAUAACUUCAGGAAACUGGGGCUAAUACCGGAUAGGAGCUCCUGCUGCAUGGUGGGGGUUGGAAAGUUUCGGCGGUUGGGGAUGGACUCGCGGCUUAUCAGCUUGUUGGUGGGGUAGUGGCUUACCAAGGCUUUGACGGGUAGCCGGCCUGAGAGGGUGACCGGCGACAUUGGGACUGAGAUACGGCCCAGGCUCCUACGGGAGGCAGCAGUGGGGAAUAUUGCACGAUGGGCGGAAGCCUGAUGCAGAAACGCCGCGUGCGGGAUGACGGCCUUCGGGUUGUAAACCGCUUUCGCCUGUGACGAAGCGUGAGUGACGGUAAUGGGUAAAGAAGCACCGGCUAACUACGUGC